CGAAGGAGCACACUAGAACAACACAAGAAGGCAAGACAAACACAAAUUACUGGCCUCUUCUCGUCAUGGCACCCGUCAACGGGAGGAACAUGAGGAGGAGCAUGGCCAUUUCCUUCCUGGUCCUUAUUAUGAUUUCUGCUUCUACAUUGCCAUCCUGCCAUGCAAGAGUUUGGGAGGCAACAUGCGAGGAUCUGCAACAAGGAUGCUCUGUACCUGAUUGCAUGGACUUAUGCAACAAAAAGCACCUUGGUAGCCAUUUCUCCUAUUGCAACAAUAUUGGCCAGUGCUGCUGCAAACAUACAUGACCAUUUUGGUUAUGGCUCUAUGAAGUGAAGCAAAUCUUAAUCGUUCUCCUGCAUGUAAUCCUCAUAAAUAAGCUCUUUGCAUGUACUGCGUCGAUCUGAUUUCACGCAAACUGAAUAAAGUGUUCUCUAAAACA